AGUGAAAUACGUCCGUGUGGAAAACUACUUCCUCCGUAAAAUGGUUCCUACGGCAAGAGAUGAUAAGAGCAGACAGGAGCUACAGGAGGGAUCUGAGAGCCAAGCUGGUGUCAGAACCAGGAAAUAUCUGGGUUGGGUUUUGAAGAGCCAGAGUGGGAAAAGCUGGGCAACUCCCUGCUGCAAGGCCCUGGCACUUGUCUCUGUCUUCUAAAUGAAGCGAGCACCAGCUCUUGUGAAACAGCAAGCAGCAGCAGCAAGAUCAAAAAGUAAGGAAAAAAAAUCUAUUCAAAAGAAGCGCUGAAACCUACGUUCAGUGCUGCUGGCCAUGGUGCCCUUGAAGGAGCGAGAGAUUGAUUUCCUGGAUUCCUCCUCAGCGGGAGUCUGCUCCAGAGGCACAGAGCUGAC